rnacentral:rRNA from 1 species
GACGAACGCUGGCGGCGUGCUUAACACAUGCAAGUCGAACGGAAAGGCCCUGCUUGCAGGGUACUCGAGUGGCGAACGGGUGAGUAACACGUGGGUGAUCUGCCCUGCACUUCGGGAUAAGCCUGGGAAACUGGGUCUAAUACCGGAUAGGAGCCAUUUUUAGUGUGAUGGUUGGAAAGUUUUUUCGGUGUAGGAUGAGCUCGCGGCCUAUCAGCUUGUUGGUGGGGUAAUGGCCUACCAAGGCGGCGACGGGUAGCCGGCCUGAGAGGGGGGACGGCCACAUUGGGACUGAGAUACGGCCCAGACUCCUACGGGAGGCAGCAGUGGGGAAUAUUGCACAAUGGGCGCAAGCCUGAUGCAGCGACGCCGCGUGGGGGAUGACGGCCUUCGGGUUGUAAACUCCUUUCGCUAGGGACGAAGCUUUUUGUGACGGUACCUAGAUAAGAAGCACCGGCUAACUACGUG